rnacentral:rRNA from 1 species
AGGGUUUGAUUAUGGCUCAGAUUGAACGCUGGCGGCGGGCCUAACACAUGCAAGUCGAACGGGAUUAGGCGGGAAGUUUACUUUUUGCUUAAUUUAGUGGCGGACGGGUGAGUAACGCGUGGAUAACCUGCCCAAUAGCCCGGGAUAACCCUUGGAAACGGGUGCUAAUACCGGAUAUUCUCCCCGGGUUGCCUGGGCUGGUGAGGAAAGGAUUCCGCUAAUGGAUGGGUCCCCGUCCCAUUAUCUUGUUGGUAGGGUAACGGCCUACCACGCGACGAUGGGUAGCCGGCCUGACAGGGCGAUCCCGGUACCACACUGGAACUGAUACACAGUCCACACUCCUACGAGCAGGCAGCAGUGCAGGAAUCUUCUUCGGCCAAUGGGGGCAGGCCCCACGAGAGCAACGCCCCCGUGAGCGAAAAAGGCCUUCAGGGUGGUAAAGCUCUGUUCCUAGGGGGAAGAAAUCAAAUGACAGGCACCCCUUGGAAGAAGCCGCCGGACUAACUACGCUAGCCAGCAGCCGCGUGAUAAGAACGUAGGGGGACAACUCGUUCUUCCAGAAAUUACUGGGUCGUAAAGGGCGCUAGUAAGCGCCAAUGGAAAGUUCAGGAGGUGAAACCCGGCCGGCUUAACCGGCGAGCCUAUCUUUAGGAAAGCUGCAUGGCUUUGAGUGCAAGAGAAGAGAAAUGGAAUUUCCGCAGUAGUACCGGUGAAAUGCGUAGAUAUUGGGAGGAACCACCAGUGGAGAAAAGCGUCUUCGUGGCCUGUAACUGACGGUGAGGCGCGAAAGCGUGGGGAGCAAACAGUAUUAGAUCCCCUGAGAGUCCACGCUGUAAACGAUGGGUGCUAGGUGUUGGGGGUAUCGACCUCUCCAGUGCGGCAGUUAACGCAAUAAGCACCCCGCCUGGGGAGUACGGCCGCAAGGCUGAAACUCAAAGGAAUUGACGGGGGCCCGCACAAGCGGUGGAGCAUGUGGUUUAAUUCGACGCAACGUGAAGAACCUUACCAGGUCUUGACAUCGCCUGAAGUGCCGUGGAAACGCGGAAUUCAUCUUCGGAUGACAGGCAGACAGGUGGUGCAUGGUUGUCGUCAGCUCGUGUCGUGAGAUGUUGGGUUAAGUCCCGCAACGAGCGCAACCCCUACCUUUAGUUGCCAUCAUUUAGUUGGGCACUCUAAAGGGACUGCCGUUGACAAAACGGAGGAAGGUGGGGAUGACGUCAAAUCAUCAUGCCCUUUAUGAUCUGGGCUACACACGUGCUACAAUGGCCGGUACAGACGGAAGAGAAGCCGUGAGGUGAAGGGAAUCUGACAAAGCCGGUCCCAGUUCGGAUUGCAGGGUGCAACUCGCCUGCAUGAAGUAGGAAUCGGUAGUAAUAGCAGGUCAGCAUAGUGCGGUGAAUACGUUCCCGGGUUUUGUUCACACCGCCCGUCACACCAAGAAAGCUGGCAACACCCGAAGCCGGUGCGCCAACCAUUUAGGAGGCAGCUGUCGAAGGUGGGGUUGGUAAUUGGGGUGAAGUCGUAACAAGGUAGCC